AUUCCCUACGGGGCGCAGCAGUAGGGAAUCUUCCACAAUGGACGAAAGUCUGAUGGAGCAACGCCGCGUGAGUGAGGAAGGGUUUCGGCUCGUAAAGCCCUGUUGGUAGGGAAGAAAGAUAGAGGUAGUAACUGGCCUUUAUUUGACGGCAAUUACUUAGAAAGUCACGGCUAACUACGUGCCAGCACCCGCGGUAAUACGUAGGUGGCAAGCGUUGUCCGGAUUUUUUGGGCGUAAA
rnacentral:rRNA from 1 species